rnacentral:rRNA from 1 species
AGCGAACGCUGGCGGCAGGCCUAACACAUGCAAGUCGAACGAACUCUUCGGAGUUAGUGGCGGACGGGUGAGUAACACGUGGGAACGUGCCUUUAGGUUCGGAAUAACUCAGGGAAACUUGUGCUAAUACCGAGUGUGCCCUUCGGGGGAAAGAUUUAUCGCCUUUAGAGCGGCCCGCGUCUGAUUAGCUAGUUGGUGGGGUAAAGGCCCACCAAGGCUACGAUCAGUAGCUGGUCUGAGAGGAUGACCAGCCACAUUGGGACUGAGACACGGCCCAAACUCCUACGGGAGGCAGCAGUGGGGAAUCUUGCGCAAUGGGCGAAAGCCUGACGCAGCCAUGCCGCGUGGAUGAUGAAGGUCUUAGGAUUGUAAAAUCCUUUCACCGGUGAAGAUAAUGACUGUAGCCGGAGAAGAAGCCCCGGCUAACUUCGUGCCAGCCGCCGCAGUAAAAC